GAUUGUUUAGUUUAUACAAAAUAGAUAUUUUGAAAGUAUCAGAAAAGAAAAAUUUCUUAAUAAUCU
rnacentral:tRNA from 1 species